AAAUCACUUAUAUAGAUGCAUAAUACAAAUAUUUCAUUUGACUUAACCACAUCAGCAAUAAUUUCAUCAGCAAAUAAGGUAAUAAUGAUACACCAUGGAUCCAUACUAAUAAAUCAUAUGAGUUCCUGCGACCAACAAAAGUCUUAGUUCUCAACCAAAUUAGGAUUUCUAACAACAGAAUGUCUCUCUCCCAGUCUACCAUAGUCCCAUUCUUCAUCUCUCCAAGUCUCUCUCCCAUCCUUCUUCUCUCCAAGUCUGGCCCCCCGUUCGCCUGGGCCCUAGCCCGUCGCCCUUCUUGCCCCGGCCCAGGGACGGCCCUGCUACUCAUGGACGCCGGAGAUGUCGAGAAUCUCCAUGCAAGUACAGGGUAGAUGGCCGCCUACCUCAACUCCGACUCCUUCGGUUCCUCUAGAUCGACGAAUAAAGAGGCGGUUGAACUUCAUCCUCGCCUCUUGCUGGAUGGAGUUGAGGACAGUCUGCUGCCCCUUCUCCUUCGCUUGGGCCACCUCAAGCUCCGCCGGGGCCUAAAGCCCGCAAGAUGAGGUGUUGAAGUAAUCCAAACAUGUUUCUUUUAGUUUGGUUAGUACAAGUGUGAUUAAGUUGGACGGUGAUUAGGAGAGUCUGGUUAGGUGUCUACGUUGGCUUGUGCUGGUCAUGUUAGGAAAGUUGAGUCCAUGUGAGUUCCAUGUAGUAGUCCGUAUAGGAUUUGUACAUGUUGAUGUGCCCGGUGCUCAUGUACGAGUACUAGUUCGAGUCGGCUUUGUAAGCCAACGUUUCUG
rnacentral:lncRNA from 1 species